AGCUUUCGAGGACAGACACGACGCUUUGGAAGGGGAGAGCCACGCGAGGACACCGGGUGGGGGAAAGUGAAGCGGAGCCACGGCGAAAGGAGCGUCGGAAGAGGGAGCAGGCUCACGCACGCUUCGAAAGAAGUGGAAUAGAAGCUACUCCAGAUCGUGAAGAGCGCGUGGAACAGGUUCGAAACGGUACAAAGCUAAUAACGAGGCCCUAACCGCGACCUAAGGAACAGGACAGACUCAGGUAACUCGGUACUCCGGCUCGCAGGUAGAGUUUGAGACAACAGGUAUCAUUGUCCGAGGGCUAGCAGUGCCGCAAGGCGAACGUUUUACAAAGCACUGGAAAUUCCAGGUAACCUCCCUCUGUCCUUUCACGGAAAAUAAACUUUCCCUCCCCCUUGGUCGCCUCUUUUAUCGAGAAUCAUCCAACCGGCUGAUACACUUUCCACGAUAUACUCGUUUCCUUCUUCGUUUACUUUCUUCGAUUCGCGUUACUCGUGCAGUUUCACUCGUAUAUUCCGCGAAGAUGGCUAACUUCGACGAAUAAGAGAAAAGGUACUUAGUCUAGUGUGUACCUUUUACUUUCAAGGUUCGUCAUUGAAAGUUUUAUUGUAGGUCCAUUAAUUUUCAGAGUACCGUUAGGUAGGGUCAGUCGUUUUUCGGGUCGUUUUCGAGUAGCCGAAUUCAACUUCGUUUUGCAACUGAAAAUAUCAUAGACUUCUAACGAUAUUUCCCAUUUCUACGCGUGGGUGGUUUCUGGUCUACGCGACGACCUUCUAGCAGAGUUCGGUCCUCCGAUAGACUACCAAGAAUUCCCUGGGACCAUUAAUCUGCUGGCUGCGACACCCAGGGCCCGAGUCUCGUUCCCUUCCCCUUUUUUCCCUUCAGUCACCCCCUCCAUUUCGGGCCAGGUAAGCGUGGCCCAGACCGAACCGUGGCAUUGUCCGAGAAACGUUGGUGAAACGAGUCAGGUUGUUGCACCGAUCAGAAACCACUAUCGCGACCGGAAGCUACCACGAUCUUCCAGUUAAACGAAGGUAGGGGGUUAAUCGGUACGACGAGAGGGCGAGGUGCGUCGAUUGUCCAGUAGAAUACGAGAAUAAAUUAAUGUCGUAAACGACUGCUUUCUGUCGUCUUUUUUAAAAAGAAAAUAGGGGAAUGGUUACGGUGAAAGUACUUGGGAUUAUUUAGGGUGAUUUGGGUUACGGUUCGCUCAAGGGUACUUAAACCAUUCAGGACAAGGGACAAUGGAUUUUCUAAGUAACAUUGAACAGUACUUAGAACGGAUUUAGUUUAUGGGGAGUGAUUUUAUAGUACCUGAAGAAAACUGUACUUCAAGAAACUUAGAUUCCUCGAUAAUGAUAAAUCAAUCACUAAUCAAGUGUCCCAUCAAAAUGUUCUAACGAAGGGUGGUAGUUGGACAAUCCAAGCGAUUUUCCAUAGGACAGGUUGAUCCUGACGGUCCAUCAAGGAACGUUCAGGUGACUGGUGAAAAGUUCGUCAGGCUAGAGAAGAGAAGAGAAGGUAAGGCGAGCAGACCGACAGGCGUCGCGCAAGAAGGAACAAUUAGAGGCCAAAUAAAGACGAAGAAGCGAGUCACAGUCGAGCGGGUUCGCAACGAGCGUGUGUGUGAUUUCGGUCACGCCGUGCGGCUGUACGUUGACCCCCGUAGAACCAGAGGAGAGAACGGAAAAAAAAACGAAGAAACACGGGUGCAGGCAGCUGAAAAAGGGAGAGAAAAAGACCGGCAUCGCGGCGGAAGGGAGAGAAAGAGGGAACUGAAGAAAGGUGAAGUAAGAAGGGGGAAUGUACGAAGGAACGAAGAGAGCAUUUGCUCCUCACCGUUCCUUCUUUCUUCCUUCUCUGCACGGAGAGGGUUCCUCGACUCGCCUCGCGGUUCCAACUUGCUCGUUGCCACCACCGUGCGGAGAAGCCGAAGUAACCGAGCAAGAUGGAACCACGAUGGUGGAACGAGGAGAAACCAUGCCGCGAAGAAGCUGGUAGGAAGAAAGAGAGCCAAGCCCGAGGAGAAACGUUCAGAAGGCUGAGAACUCACUCGGAGAGCAAUCGAGGUGUACACCGCACUGAUUCGCCCGAUCCUGGGUCAUUCGGACCCAGCCUUACAUCCAAUUCAAAACUGUCACGGUUUAGGUCAAUUCAGAAAUGUUAAGAAACUACCCCUUCGCGUCCAAAAUGCAAAUUCGUGAAGGGAUAGGCGACGAAGGUUUCGAUAUCAAAGAAUCAUCGAACGGUAUCGAAAACAGUGCAAAGUGGCUUCUUUAAAGUAGAGUAUCCUGUCGCGGCCGAUAAGUAAUCUUGUACCGGAACACUGGAGGCGUGGAUACGAGCCCUUUAAGGGCAGUUCACGUGUAUUCGACAUGCGUAUUACGCGUGCUCCACGGGAUUUGUCACGCGCCGACUGAACCUGCUCUCGCGAUUACAAAGACCGCUCGAAACAGCUUUGUACUUCAAUUUUAAUUCUAAUUCAUGCGAACCACUUGUACCAAUGUAAUUUUCAUCGAGAAUAAAUCUAAAUGAACCUAAGAUACAGGGUGUUAGGAAUUUACUGAGUAUCGGGUGCGAAGACGCAAUCUCGAGUAUCUGUGAAUCAGAUCGAAUGGAAAGUUUGCUAGAUCUCGAUGAGACUGGUGUUCAGGCUGUGGCGACGAUGUCGCCAAGGAGUUAGCGGACAGCUACGGGUUAGAUUGAGGCUGAUCGGGUAACCGCUAAGUAUAUCGAGCUUAGAGUACUUGAACGAGAGCCAUCGAUGGCCAAGGGUGCGAUGCUUGUUUGCUCAAUGACGCUGGGCUACCGAGGCGUUUACCGAUCUACAGGUGACUUUCCUUAUUCCUUCGGCCUGUCUCCUUUCCUUCGACGAUUAAUUGGCUUUUUAGGGCUGUUACGAACCGCAACGACGACUCGAGUACAAGACAAGCUUGUAGGGUGAAAUUGAAAUUCAUUGUGCGUCGAGAAGAGAGCGUAAACGAUGGGAUAAGGAAAACGAGUUAACCUCAGUUUCCUCUGGAACUAAGUACCACUUUCUACUUUAAUUCAUCCUAUUUUUCUUUAUCUCCCAAGAUAGAGGGAUAAAGAAAUUGUUUAGGGAGUGGAACGUAUCGAAAGGACGUCGCGGAGGAGUAAACCGGUAAUCUUUAGAGGUCAUCUAAUUAUGCGGUAAAACAGCGUUAAUUCGCGGUUAAUUUCUUAACGAGAUAACUCGUUGGCAAGGGAAAGGGUGGCGUGGUUAGAGCCUCUAAUGGCUCCGCGUGGCUACGUCCGGCUAAAUGAAAAAAAAAAAGGGAGAAAAAAA